rnacentral:rRNA from 1 species
AUACGGAGGAUCCGAGCGUUAUCCGGAUUUAUUGGGUUUAAAGGGUGCGCAGGCGGGAGAUUAAGUCGGCGGUGAAAUUUUGCAGCUCAACUGUAAAAGUGCCUUCGAAACUGGGUUCCUUGAGUGUAGAUGAAGUAGGCGGAAUUUGUGGUGUAGCGGUGAAAUGCAUAGAUAUCACGAGGAACUCCGAUUGCGCAGGCAGCUUACUAAACUACUACUGACGCUCAGGCACGAAGGCGUGGGGAUCAAACAGGAUUAGAUACCCUGGUAGUCCACGCAGUAAACGAUGAUUACUAGCUGUUUGCGAUACAAUGUAAGCGGCUGAGCGAAAGCGUUAAGUAAUCCACCUGGGGAGUACGUUCGCAAGAAUGAAACUCAAAUGAAUUGACGGGG